rnacentral:rRNA from 1 species
GGAGGAAAAGAAACCAACAGGGAUUGCCCUAGUAACGGCGAGUGAAGCGGCAACAGCUCAAAUUUGAAAGCUGGCUCCGGCCCGCAUUGUAAUUUGCAGAGGAUGCUUCUGGUGAGGUGCCUUCCGAGUUCCCUGGAACGGGACGCCAUAGAGGGUGAGAGCCCCGUAUGGAUGGACACCAAACCUGUGUGAAGCUCCUUCAACGAGUCGAGUAGUUUGGGAAUGCUGCUCUAAAUGGGAGGUAAAUCUCUUCUAAAGCUAAAUACCGGCCAGAGACCGAUAGCGCACAAGUAGAGUGAUCGAAAGAUGAAAAGCACCUUGAAAAGGGGGUUAAACAGUACGUGAAAUUGUUGAAAGGGAAGCGCUUGUGACCAGACUUGCGCCGGGCAGCUCAUCAGGGGUUCUCCCCUGUGCACUCUGCCCGGCUCAGGCCAGCAUCGGUUCUCGUGGGAGGAUAAGAACGGUUGGAACGUGGCCCCCCUCCGGGGGGGUGUUAUAGCCUACCGUACGAUACUCCCGUGGGGACCGAGGUUCGCGCUCCGCAAGGAUGCUGGCGUAAUGGUCAUCAGCGACCC